CCUAUGUGAGGCUGCAGUGAGGAAUAUUGGUCAAUGGGCGCGAGCCUGAACCAGCCAAGUCGCGUGAGGGAGGACGGCCCUACGGGUUGUAAACCUCUUUUGCCGGGGAGCAACGGGCGCCACGUGUGGCGCCACUGAUAUUACCCGGAGAAAAAGCAUCGGCUAACUCCGUCCCAGCAGCCGCGUUAUUACGGAGGAUGCGAGGUUUAUCCGGAUUUUUGGGGUUAAAAGGGUGCGGAGGCGGAUCGUUAAGUCAGUGGUAAAUGUGAGGGGCUCACCCCGUUCCUGCAAUGGAAACUGGCGUUCUUGAGUGGAAGAGAAGUAGGCGGAAUGCGUGGUGUAGCGGUGAAAUGCAUAGAUAUCACGCAGAACCCCGAUUGCGAAGGCAGCAUGCCGGCUUCCGACUGACGCUGAAGCACGAAAGCGUGGGGAUCGAACAGGAUUAGAUACCCUAGUAGUC
rnacentral:rRNA from 1 species